rnacentral:lncRNA from 1 species
CCAGAUCUCGCUCGCCACUCUCCCAGAUCUCGCUCUCUCACUCGUCUCUCUCACUUUAUACAAAAAACGCAAAUUGUAUAAAAUGCGUUUGUGUUUGUAUAAAGCGAGAGAAAAUUGUAUAUAUACAUAUAUUUUCGUUCCCCUCUCCCAGAUCUCGCUCGCCACUCUCCCAGAUCUCGCUCUCUCACUCGUCUCUCUCACUUUAUACAAAAAACGCAAAUUGUAUAAAAUGCGUUUGUGUUUGUAUAAAGCGAGAGAAAAUUGUAUAUAUACAUAUAUUUUCGUUCCCCUCUCCCAGAUCUCGCUCG